AGGGUAUAAAUAUCAUCCAUAUCAUUAAUUCUUCAACUGUGACACUCUUCUUCAUGAUUUCAAUAUUAUGAGUUUCUUUCUCUUUAGUUUUCUUCCCCUGGCCAGUUAUAUAUGGUUCUUUGUAGCUUAUUAGUGGUCUUUGGGCUGUGAUAAGUUCCCUAAGGAGUUUAGGUAGUUCCUUUUGUUUCCCUUUUAAUUCAUAUCACUUACUUUUUUUUUUUUUUUGCAAUUAUGAGGGACUAGUUUUCUGUAUUCUGUUAUCACUUAUUGAUAUUGGAGGCCAGGCAUGAGAAUUGUCAUCUGAUCAUUAGAUGAUUCAAAGAUGUAUUUUCUUUUCAUUUCAUCAAUCCAUGCACUUCCUUUUGUCACUCUGUAGAAAUUAGCAGUGUAUUCGUGUUAGGAAAGAACGAGGUCUGUCUUCUUCAUUAUUUUUCUCGAGAUAUUACAUGCUAUCUUGCCGAACCUUUUUUCCCCUAUGAUGUGUUUGUUUUUUUGUGAUUCCAGUAUUACCUUUUUUCCCAAAUUUGCUACAAAUUCAUCCUUUUCCAACCUNNNNNNNNNNNNNNNNNNNNAUGAUUACAAAGAUGUUAUUUUCUUUCUAUUUCAUCAAUCCAUGCACUUCCUUUUGUCACUCUGUAGAAAUUAGCAGUGUAUUCGUGUUAGGAAAGAACGAGGUCUGUCUUCUUCAUUAUUUUUCUCGAGAUAUUACAUGCUAUCUUGCCGAACCUUUUUUCCCCUUAUGAUGUGUGUUUUUUUUUUUUUUGUGAUUCCAGUAUUACCUUUUUUUUCCCAAAUUUGCUACAAAUUCAUCCUUUUCCAACCUUCUGUAUUCUGGUUGUCCAGAUUGUCUUUUCUUGUAUGCUAUUUCUGAUUUCUUUAUUCUGUUCUGGGGUGCAGAUGCAAGAUGUAUCCUGAUUUGGCUGAGAAGACCAGCACCUCUGAAACCAUGAUCCUUGGAGUUGCACCUCCGAAGGGGUUUGUUUCUACCAUGAAUUUUAAUUAUUAAUCCUCUCUUAAAAUUGUGACAUGAAUCCAAAUUAUUAAAAGGAGAAACAAUAGGAUCAUAUUAUAUGGUAUACAUAGUUUCCUUGCUCAUUUUCAGAAAAAUACUACUUAUGUUUCAUGGACCAACCAACCUUAAGUUUCUCUCUACUUAAUGUUUAAUUUAAGAGAGAGACCUUAAUAUUACUGAUGAUAAAUUUUGGCUAUACAUAACUCUUCAGCUUUUCUACUCUUGAUUAUAGGCACUCCGAAGGGUUUGAGAUGGCUACUGGAUCCCAGACCGAAGCUUGCAAGUGCGGAUCCAACUGCACCUGUAACCCCUGCACCUGCUAAUAACCCAGCGAGGUGCUUGCCUUAAAAGCCUAGGUUUGCAGAUAUGCUGGUGUGGUGUGUGUCGCUUUGUGUGAAGACUAGUAAA
rnacentral:lncRNA from 1 species